rnacentral:rRNA from 1 species
UACAGAGGGGGCAAGCGUUAUUCGGAAUUAUUGGGCGUAAAGGGCGCGUAGGCGGCCUGGCAAGUGGAAGGUGAAAUCCCUCGGCUUAACCGAGGAACUGCCCCCCAAACUGCUUGGCUUGAGUCCGGGAGAGGUGAGUGGAAUUCCCAGUGUAGAGGUGAAAUUCGUAGAUAUCGGGAGGAACACCGGUGGCGAAGGCGGCGAUCUGGGUAGAUACUGACGCUGAGGUGCGAAAGCGUGGGGAGCAAACAGG